UACAGAGGGGGCAAGCGUUAUUCGGAAUUAUUGGGCGUAAAGGGCGCGUAGACGGCUUUGCAAGUGGCGGGUGAAAUCCCUCGGCUUAACCGAGGAACUGCCUGUCAAACUGCAUGGCUUGAGACCAGGAGAGGUGAGUGGAAUUCCCAGUGUAGCGGUGAAAUGCGUAGAUAUUGGGAGGAACACCAGUGGCGAAGGCGGCUCACUGGACUGGUACUGACGCUGAUGCGCGAAAGCGUGGGGAGCAAACAGG
rnacentral:rRNA from 1 species